rnacentral:lncRNA from 1 species
AGCCCCAGGGCAGGAAAAGCCAAGGGAACAGGAGAGAGGGGCCUCAGGGAAGGCUUGCGGGAGCCCUGGCAGCAGCUCUGGUCCAUUGGCACGCCGUCAGCAGUGCUUGCCUCAGUCUUCCGGAACUCCUGCUGUGUCCCCACUCACGUCAGCAUCCUGCACCCCUUGAAGGACAGUCAGCUGUGUGACUCUGGCUCCUUUCACAGUGCCCCAACAGAGCCCCCAGCAGCCUCCUCUGUGGGCAGCUCAUGCAAGCACUUAACCCUGCUCCCUCAACCCUCCUGUCCGUGUCACUCCACUUGUACCAUUGCGCCCGAUCCAGGGCCUCCUCAGGGGUCCCCGUGGGAGUUCGCAUCCAUCCCCGCCUCUUCUCUCCCUAGCCAUGAACAGUCAGUCAAGUACCUCAACUUCUCAGCCUCAGAGGAAGAGAGAAGCGGUGUGGCCACACACAGAUACCAGGCAGGUGGUGAGGCCUUCAGGGCUCAGGCCGCGCCCGGGGAGUUUGCCGUGGGCCGCGCUCGCAUUCCCUCUCUCUGUGCAGGUCAAUAACCUGGGUCAGAGGGACUUACCGGUCAGCGUUGACUUCUGGGUGCCUGUGGGGCUGAAUGGAGCAGCUGUGUGGACGGAGGUGGAGGUCUCUCACCCCCAGAACCCAUCCAUCCAGUGCUCCUCAGAGAGAUUGGUUCCCACGGAGGCUGACUUUCGGACGUACAUGCAGAAGAAUCCUGAGCUGGUGAGGAGGACUGUGGGCUGCUCUCUGCUGUGAGCUUCAUGUUGGAGGAAUUUAAUUCAGGAAUCAUACUGUACCCUGAAGGAUGCUCGCUGGCCAGCCUUGUGUGCUGAGAUAUGGCUGAUUCCUUCCAGUCACAGAGUUGAAUGCUGUCUUCUCCAUUCAUAUGCAUCGUCCUCUGGCCAGAUACUACCUUUCUGUCCUUAGGACUGCUCCAUUGCUGACUGCCUAAGGUUUCGCUGUGACAUCCCCUCCUUGGGCAUCCAGGAAGAACUGG